AUUGAACGCUGGCGGCAUGCCUUACACAUGCAAGUCGAACGGCAGCACGGGUGCUUGCACCUGGUGGCGAGUGGCGAACGGGUGAGUAAUACAUCGGAACAUGUCCUGUAGUGGGGGAUAGCCCGGCGAAAGCCGGAUUAAUACCGCAUACGAUCUACGGAUGAAAGCGGGGGCCCUUCGGGCCUCGCGCUAUAGGGUUGGCCGAUGGCUGAUUAGCUAGUUGGUGGGGUAAAGGCCUACCAAGGCGACAAUCAGUAGCUGGUCUGAGAGGACGACCAGCCACACUGGGACUGAGACACGGCCCAGACUCCUACGGGAGGCAGCAGUGGGGAAUUUUGGACAAUGGGCGAAAGCCUGAUCCAGCAAUGCCGCGUGUGUGAAGAAGGCCUUCGGGUUGUAAAGCACUUUUGUCCGGAAAGAAAUCCUUGGCUCUAAUACAGUCGGGGGAUGACGGUACCGGAAGAAUAAGCACCGGCUAACUACGUG
rnacentral:rRNA from 1 species